AGCUCCAAUAGCGUAUAUUAAAGUUGUUGCGGUUAAAAAGCUCGUAGUUGGAUUUCUGCUGAGGACAACCGGUCCGCCCUCUGGGUGAGAAUCUGGCUUAGCCUUGGCAUCUUCUUGGAGAACGUAGCUGCACUUGACUGUGUGGUGCGGUAUCCAGGACUUUUACUUUGAGGAAAUUAGAGUGUUUCAAGCAGGCACACGCCUUGAAUACAUUAGCAUGGAAUAAUAAGAUAGGACCUUGGUUCUAUUUUGUUGGUUUCUAGAGCUGAGGUAAUGAUUAAUAGGGAUAGUUGGGGGCAUUCGUAUUUAACUGUCAGAGGUGAAAUUCUUGGAUUUGUUAAAGACGGACUGCUGCGAAAGCAUUUGCCAAGGAUGUUUUCAUUGAUCAAGAACGAAAGUA
rnacentral:rRNA from 1 species